GGGCCCGUAGCUCAGUGGUUAGAGCAGCCGGCUCAUAACCGGUCGGUCGCAGGUUCGAAUCCUGCCGGGCCCA
rnacentral:tRNA from 1 species